GGAUCUGGAUUGCUAUUGCCCCAUGUGUUUUUCUUUGAAACAAACUUGCUUUGGCGGUGGGCCCAGCCUGCCGCCAGAGGUCUAAACUUACAACCAAUUUUUUAUCAACUUGUCACACCAGAUUAUUACUAAUAGUCAAAACUUUCAACAACGGAUCUCUUGGUUCUCGCAUCGAUGAAGAACGCAGCGAAAUGCGAUACGUAAUAUGAAUUGCAGAUAUUCGUGAAUCAUCGAAUCUUUGAACGCACAUUGCGCCCUCUGGUAUUCCGGAGGGCAUGCCUGUUUGAGCGUCGUUUCUCCCUCAAACCGCUGGGUUUGGUGUUGAGCAAUACGACUUGGGUUUGCUUGAAAGACGGUAGUGGUAAGGCGGGAUCGCUUUGACAAUGGCUUAGGUCUAACCAAAAACAUUGCUUGCGGCGGUAACGUCCACCACGUAUAUCUUCAAACUUUGACCUCAAAUCAGGUAGGACUACCCGCUGAACUUAAGCAUAUCAAUAAGCGGAGGAA
rnacentral:rRNA from 1 species